rnacentral:rRNA from 1 species
GAUGAACGCUGGCGGCGUGCCUAAUACAUGCAAGUCGAGCGAACAGAUGAGAAGCUUGCUUCUCUGAUGUUAGCGGCGGACGGGUGAGUAACACGUGGGUAACCUACCUAUAAGACUGGGAUAACUCCGGGAAACCGGGGCUAAUACCUGAUAAUAUUUUGAACCGCAUGGUUCAAUAGUGAAAGGCGGCUUCGGCUGUCACUUAUAGAUGGACCCGCGCCGUAUUAGCUAGUUGGUAAGGUAACGGCUUACCAAGGCGACGAUACGUAGCCGACCUGAGUGGGUGAUCGGCCACACUGGAACUGAGACACGGUCCAGACUCCUACGGGAGGCAGCAGUAGGGAAUCUUCCGCAAUGGGCGAAAGCCUGACGGAGCAACGCCGCGUGAGUGAUGAAGGUUUUCGGAUCGUAAAACUCUGUUGUUAGGGAAGAACAAAUUUGUUAGUAACUGAACAAGUCUUGACGGUACCUAACCAGAAAGCCACGGCUAACUACGUGCCAGCCGCCGCAGUAA